CAGGUGUUGUGAGCUAGACGUGUGAGUCAGCAGGUGUUGUGAGCUAGACGUGUGAGUCAGCAGGUGUUGUGAGCUAGACGUGUGAGUCAGCAGGUGUUGUGAGCUAGACGUGUGAGUCAGCAGGUGUUGUGAGCUAGACGUGUGAGUCAGCAGGUGUUGUGAGCUAGACGUGUGAGUCAGCAGGUGUUGUGAGCUAGACGUGUGAGUCAGCAGGUGUUGUGAGCUAGCAGUGUGAGUCAGCAGGUGUUGUGAGCUAGCAGUGUGAGUCAGCAGGUGUUGUGAGCUAGCAGUGUGAGUCAGCAGGUGUUGUGAGCUAGACGUGUGAGUCAGCAGGUGUUGUGAGCUAGCAGUGCGAGUCAGCAGGUGUUGUGAGCUAGACGUGUGAGUCAGCAGUGUGAGGCAACAGGUGUUGUGAGCUAGCAGUGUGAGUCAGCAGUGUAAGUCAGCAGUAUGAGUCAGCAGGUGGUGUGAUUUAGCAGGUGGUGUGAGUCAGAGGGUGGUGUGAAUCGGUAGGUCAUGUGAGUCAGCAGGUUGUGUGAGUCAUGAGGUGGUGUGAGUCAUGAGGUGAUGUGAAACAAAAGUGGCAGGUGACGUGAAUCAGCUGGUUGUGUACACAGCAGGCGGCCUGGGUCGAUGUUCUGCCGGAAGGGGCGGAGGGUUGAGGUGGAAGGUCCAGGUCAUUCGUCACGUGAAUACAUAACAGUUUACAGGGGUAUGAGUUUUUAUAUUUAUUACAAUUAAUUACUUUGCCGACGUUAACAGCGGUAAGAAAUGCAGGAUGUACCUAGAAUGGUCUCAAAAAGCCGACACGAUCACGCUAACAUUACAGAACAGGUAAGUUACAACAGCAAACAUUGCGCAAGUUGUUCUUGAUCUUGAUCUUGAUCCUGAUCUUGAUGUCACAGGAGACUUGAGAUUUAUCUCCAGCCUGGCCUUUGUAUCGGCAGCUCCUGUAAAAGAAAACAAAACAUACAGAAAGACGGUGCCAUAAUCAUGGCAAAAUAUCAUUGCCUACAUCUUCCACGCCACGUGCUCUCCAAGAACUUUUUCACUGCCUCAAUCAUUCGUCCAUUCGUCUCUCCACUCAGCCCCAGCAGCAGCACCAUCCACUCCUUUCCAGUCCUCCCAUCACUUCACGUCCCAUCUCACUCAGAAACACCUGCAUCACUUUCGUUCUCUCUUUGUCACACUUCUUACAUUCUAGCACUACACGAUGCACAGUCUGGUUCACACCCCUGUGACACAUGUGGCACACUUUGCUGCUGGACUCGGACCAUCUAUAGUUCCUUGCAUUCACAUCCAAAUACUGCGCUCUAGCAAUGAAAAGAAGAUCACCUCCCAGGCUUCCCUCAUACCACACCUCACUCUCUGGGGCCUCUUUCUCCCUGUAACAGUCGAGGGUUUCCUGUCUUUCCAUCUCAUUCAUCCACUUGCUCAAUCCUUCAUCUUUUACUGCCAUAUAUAUCACAUUCUUCCACUUUCUUACAUCCCACUCAAACCCCUCUCUAUUGCUGUUUGUUAUUCCCCAUUUAAAAACAUUCUGCCUUUCCUCAAAAGGUCAAUACAUCCACUUAUUUUGCAAACUAUUCCUGUCUAUCUUUCGCCCACAUAUAUUCGCCCAUUUGCCAUUUCUUAUGUUCCAUUCCACACGUAUAACUUUCGUGUUAAUCUUGCAUCCUCCAUUCGCUCCUGUCUCACUUUAUAUCUAAAGGUUGCUUUCAUUAGUCUUUCCCUAAAAGUACUCCAUCCCAUGUCACCCCUAAGAGCCUCUAUUGCUGCAAACCUUGGUGCAUUCAGUGCCAUUCUUGCUACCCUAUUCUGUCCCAAUUCCAGUUUCUCUAUAUCUCUGUCGUUCAAUGUCACCACAUCCAUUCCAUGCAUAAUGCUCGGGACAGCCACACUCUUCCAAACCACACGGACGAAUCAUACGUGCUCGCUCUCAUCCUUGUUGCACUCCCCAAACUGCCUACCCACUGGCUCGUCGUACCUGUCUUCUCAUUCUUGGCCCUAUCGCAUCCAUCCACACUUUUAGAUACUUGUCUGUUGCAACUUAUUCCCUUCCAGUCUCCAUGUUGUUUGUCUCUCAUUCUCUGACCUAUUAACUAUCAUUAUCUUGCUCUUCGCACUACUAAAUCUAACCCCUAAAUCUCUUCCAUAUCCCCCUACCACAUCUAAUAGUCUUUGUAAGUCUUUAGCAGACACAAUCAUAACCACCUCAUCAUCCGCGUUCAACAACACACAUAC